rnacentral:rRNA from 1 species
CGCGAAUGGCUCAUUACAACAGCUAUAAUUUACUUGAUCUUGACAACCUACUUGGAUAACUGUGGUAAUUCUAGAGCUAAUACAUGCACCAAAGCUCCGACCGUAAGGGAAGAGCGCAUUUAUUAGAACAAAACCAAGCGGCUUCGGCCGUCCAAUGUUGACUCAGAAUAACUAAGCUGAUCGCAUGGUCUUGUACCGGCGACGUGUCUUUCAAGUAUCUGCCUUAUCAACUUUCGAUGGUAGUGUAUCUGACUACCAUGGUGACGACGGGUAACGGAGGAUAAGGGUUCGACUCCGGAGAAGGGGCCUGAGAAAUGGCCACUACGUCUAAGGAUGGCAGCAGGCGCGCAAAUUACCCACUCUCAGAACGAGGAGGUAGUGACGAGAAAUAACGAGACCGUUCUCUUAAGAGGCCGGUCAUCGGAAUGGGUACAAUUUAAACCCUUUAACGAGUAUCUAUGAGAGGGCAAGUCUGGUGCCAGCAGCCGCGGUAAUUCCAGCUCUCAAAAUGCAUAGAAUUAUUGCUGCGGUUAAAAAGCUCGUAGUUGGAUCUGUGCUGGCCUCCCGGUCCACCUUCGGGUGUGCACUGGUGAGGUUGGCUUUCCUGCCCAUUUUUCGGUCAGUGCCUUUAACCGGGUGCUGGUCGUAGUGGGCAAGUUUACUUUGAACAAAUCAGAGUGCCCAAAACAGGCGUUUCGCUUGAAUGUUCGUGCAUGGAAUAAUAGAAGAGGAUUUCGGUUCUAUUUUAUUGGUUUUAUAGACUGAGAUAAUGGUUAACAGAGACAAACGGGGGCAUUCGUAUUGCUACGUGAGAGGUGAAAUUCUUGGACCGUAGCAAGACGAACUACAGCGAAAGCAUUUGCCAAGAAUGUCUUCAUUAAUCAAGAACGAAAGUCAGAGGUUCGAAGGCGAUCAGAUACCGCCCAAG